UCGCUGUGAUGAAGUUACUCCUAACAUUCGCAGUUUGCACCUGAGGUUUAAAAACCAAAGAUGGCUUUUCAGCCCUUCCUUGGAUGUCUGAGCGA
ensembl:snoRNA SNORD14 Small nucleolar RNA SNORD14